rnacentral:rRNA from 1 species
UGCGUAGGGUGCGAGCGUUGUCCGGAAUUAUUGGGCGUAAAGGGCUCGUAGGCGGUUUGUCGCGUCGGGAGUGAAAACCCAGGGCUUAACCCUGGGCUGGCUUCCGAUACGGGCAGACUAGAGGUAUGCAGGGGAGAACGGAAUUCCUGGUGUAGCGGUGAAAUGCGCAGAUAUCAGGAGGAACACCGAUGGCGAAGGCAGGUCUCUGGGCAUUAACUGACGCUGAGGAGCGAAAGCAUGGGGAGCGAACAGG